ACCAUUAUGUAGAGCAAUCAAAUUCUAUCCAUUUCAUGUUAGAAAUUUUUUUAAUGGUCAAUCCUUGUUUCUUUUUCCUGCUUAGAUGCUAGAAAUGGUGGUCCUACUUAUGUAAUAAUACAAUUUUGCAGGAUGAGAAUUACAAAUAUGACAAAUAUAUUUUUUUUUAAUAAAGUUCUUCUUUCUUGCAAAGAGACAUGUUCUUUCCGUUUUUGGAAAGUGACAUAUUUGGCAGGCUUGUGAUUCUCCUUCCAUGACAUAGAAAAUGGUACCAAUCGGUAAGUGGAUCUCCAUGGGUUUGAGUCGGAUAAAGAAACGAGUAUAUGAUCGGACACUUUUCCGGCGCCGGCAAUCUUUCGCCGGUUUUUCAGUUUUACGGUGAUGAUUUUUGAAUAAAAUUGUUCGUUUUAUUCAAACCCCUAAAUUGAUUAACCCGUCGAAUUAAAUCUUGUUGAUUUUUUGUGACUAUGUCUCAGCUGUUUGAAACCCUAGUAAGCUGCUUCAGUUUAAAUCCCCAAAUUUGAACCCUAAAUUGCUGUAACUAAUAGACCAUCAAGAGCAUGUUGCCAAGUCUGUUCUUAAUUGAUCGGACUAAUUUUUCUCUUUUAAGUAAAACUAAAUUUGCUGAUAAAUUUUUCCUUCAAAAUUUUGUUUUUUCCUGUGUGCUGUUGAGUUUAAUAAGCAUUUCUGAUUUUAAUAAUAAAGUGAAUAACUUUGAGCUGUGAGAAGAAUGUAACUAGGGUUUCUUUAGUGUUCACUUUUAGUUAAGUUUUCACAUUUUUACUUCUUUUUUGCUAUAGCUUAUUGGUGCUUUCUUCAAUCCUGUAAUGAUUAGUUUCAUCCAUUUCCCAAAGUUUUGAACUUCAAUUCCGUUUUCCAAGGAAUUAUCAAGUUCUGUUGCAGGAAAGUGAAAGGUUAUUAAAGUUUCAUGAUAGGAUUUCUUAGUUGCUGAUUACUUUUCUUAUUUGCUGAAAUCGGCUUGUCUAAUUACCUGUUAUACCUGUUAUGGUGCAGAAUGUAGCGUCCUGUCGGGGAGAAGUAUUGUGUGAUUCUUCCAGUUUAUUUCUUGUCAAUACGUUAAGGCGAUAGUGUGCUCUUAUGUCUCAGUAUUAGUAAAAGCUAUAGUUGACGUGCCUUUUCUUAUUAGAUAUAUGUUGAAGUAUGGAUACUCUAUGUAUAAGUAGAUAUUUAGAAUGGAAUAAACUUAUCCUACUAUAGAAUCUUACUAUGAAAAUAAGAUGUGUAGAUGAAAAUGAGCGCCAGAAGUAUGAUUGCAUCCGCGUAUGCAUCAAUUGCAUACCAGAAUUGCUAUGAUAUUGCCUCACUAGAUCUGAUGUAAUGUUUUACCUCUACCACCUUCUUAACUUUCCGUGCCCCCCCCCCCCCCUCUCCCCAAAGGAAACCGGGAAUUUAGCUUCGGCACCUAUCCCCUGUGACCCUGCAAAUAUCUAGUCAAAACCUAAUGUAACAGUUUUAAAAGAAGUCAGGUUCCUAACUUCCUUAGAACUUGCUGAAGUGUUUCUCUUUUGGUGGGAAGCAUAGAACUACCCUGUCCUUUAUUUUCUCAUUUCCUGGUGAUUAUCAGACUUAUGGCAGUAAGGAACAUUAUUCAUAAUGAUGAUACAGGUGAUUACACCUUUGUGCUGACUAAAUUUAUUGGCUGGAGCUUCUCGGACACUUUGAAGAUUGAAAUGCCUUUUUUCCCCUUUUGGAUUGGGGUUUUUAUGCUGAAAAUUCCUUAUUGGAGACACUCCAUAUUUUCUAAUUAUUCUGAUUGGUACUGACAACUAUAACUUCUAAUUGUUGUUGUUUUCUAAAGCUUGGUUUCUUUUGUGUCUGUGUCUAUGUACUUCCAUUGUUGACUAUGAAUAUUACAUGUCUUUGAAUAAUUAUGAUUUUUCACAUCAUAACGAGGAAUCUCUUAAAUGAGCCAUGCUCUUUGAAUAGGAAUAGAAUGUGUUGUUUUCAGUUCUUCACACUUUAUGGGCCUUAUUUUACUGAUAUGAUGCCCUCUUUUCAUAUGUGUUGCAGUUACCUUUUUUAUUACAUCUGUUAGUGAGUAUGCACCAGGUAUGUUGUUGUUGUUGUAAGUCUGUAUGCAUCUAGAAAGCAAGCUGAAGAGCUAGAUAUAGAACCUUGGUGACAUGUCUUGACUCAAGACUGUUAAUUCUUGAUCGUCGUACUCAUACUAAGAAGUCAAAAUUUGCACAACUACUAAGAAGCCAAUUUGCACAACUACUAAGAAGUCAAACUAGUGAACUCUCAAAGAAGUCACUCUAUGCAACUUGGUAUGUCAAGAUAAAACCAAGUAUGUGGCAGUUAUUCCUUGCAUUGGUGAAUACAACUUGGGUUAUGCCCAGGACUACUUGUGAUCUUUUGAGAUGCUGGAACAAUGUAGGUGGCUGGGGAAGGAAGAAGAGAUGGUGGAGGGCUAUACCAGCAUGCAUUUGGUGGAAUGUCUGGAAGGAAAGAAAUGAUAGGUGUUUUGAAGAUAGGAGGAGUUCUUUACAGAAAAAGAAGCUCAACUGUAUUUUGUCCUUUUAUUUUUGGUGUAAAGAAUUUGCGUAGAUGAAACCCAGACUUUAUUAGAGUUGUUAGAGUCCUUGUAAGAAGAAUCUUGGACAGAUGUAAAUAGGUCUCUUCCUUUUUUUUGUAAUUGUGAUUUCCAACACAAGCUUUGAGUUGAUGAAUAGACUGUUACCUCUAUCAAAAAAAAAAAAAAAGAUAAAACCAAGCAGCCCGAAAUUAGUGGAAAGUUAUUAGGAGACCUUUUAAAGAACUUCAAUACUCUGGUAAUUUUCAAAGUGCAAACUCAAAAUCUGAAGGCGUGAUCUGCUACUGCAAUUUGAUUAGGUCAUGAAAUUUUUGCAAGUGUUGCAACCUUUAUGGUCAUGAAAUUUUUGCCAGUGUUGCAACCGUAAUGUGUCAUGCGGACAAAAUAGCUGCAAGCUUUUCAACUAACAUUGUUGUUGAGGGACUCGUUCCUAGAAUGUUGUGGAUAAGAGUUAGUAUGAACAGUAAUAGUUGCGCAGUGCUUAUGCUUUCCUAUUUGUAUAGUAUCGCUUAUGUUGACUAUCCCAUUGAGGGUGUAUAUGACAUAUGGCUAUUAUGGGACAUUAAUUCCUUUAGAGACAUAACGUUGAUAGUUCUGAGCUAAUAGCCUCCUCCACAGAUAAUUCCAUCAUUGUUUUUGGCUAAAAUUACUGGCUGAAGAUCCUCAGAUUUCUUUGAGGUUUGAAGUCCUCUCUUUCCUUUUGGGUUAAACAAUUGGACAGUCUUUAGUGUCUUCGUAGAAUAGCAGUCAGCACGAAAUAGCAUUAGAUGCCUGGGCAACAAUUAAGUUGUUGGUUCAAAUGAACCUUGAUCCUAGCAUAGGAAUAAUUUAAUUUAUGUUUUCUUAGAAGGAAAAUUGAGUCAAACCAAACUGUUAAGUGUGAACACCUAGUCUGAAGUGAUUAACUUUUCUAACUUAAAAGAAGUGCUAACCAAUUACUGUAAUCUCUACUUUUUUGUAUUUGUCUGCAAUAACUAUAUGUGCCCUCUAACCAAUUAAUUAUUGUAAUCUUCUCUUUGUUUAUUUUCAGUUAAUGUAAUCUUCUAUUAUUCAAAAGUAGUAAAAUGCAUUUAUCACUAAGUGAAAACACCAUCAUAUCACACUUUCUGGUUGGUUGUAAAUGGUGAAAGAUUCAUAUCCUAACACGUGUUUAGUUUUUUUCAGAUCGAUCAAUCUCGUCCCUUUUUCUAUCUUAGAUGCUAGAAAUGGUUGUCCGUCUUAUCAAUUGAUAAUCUUUCAUGUUAUAUGUAAGGAGAAUCACAAACUUGACAAAUAUGCGUGACCAUCUCUAAAAGAAAGAAUACAGUAUUUCCUGGUGCUUAGAUAAAUUUUUGUCAUUUCAUUUACAAAAGAAUGCCCUGUUUGAAAAAAAUGUCAUAUCGCGUUCUUGAAAAAGACAUUUGUCAAGCUUGUGAUUUUCCUCUAAUGGCAUGGAAAUAUUAACUGGUGAGUGGACCUCCAUUCAUCUGAGUUGGAAAACGGAAUGGGUCAUUGAUCGGGUACUUCUCCGGCGCUGGAGCUGGAGCACUUUCACCGAUUUUCAAGAUUUCAGUGAUGUUUUUGCAUCGGUGAAAUUGGUUUUUUCCUUAGAACCCUAGAUUGAUUGACCCUUUGAGUGAUUCUUAUCCUGUUCCAUGAUUAUUUCUUGUUUUUUUGUGUGGAUGUGUGCGGAUUUUGGAACCUUAUUAGCUGCUUCAAUUCAAUUACCAAAUCUUGAAUCCAAAUUUGCUUUUAGAAGAAGCUAGGAAGAUUUUGAUAAUGUAAUUUCUGGAAAUUGUUCUUUUAUUGACUGUUAUGAUGUAUGUAUCUAUAAAUUCAAACGCUAGAAGAUUAAGUUAGCUUACUAGUGCAUCCACGAAACCGUAGAUGAAACUAAUUUAAAUUAUUUUACCGAUUACGAUUAGUAAGCUCUAUUGCAGGAAACGGAUAUGUUUCUAAAACUCGACCAUAGGAUUGCUUGGUAAGUGAUUUCAUACUCAUCUUUGAUAAAUCGUCUUGUUACUGACCUGCUAUUUUUGAGCUUCUGUUUCUUAACAUGUUUAUCCUAUUCUGUUUUUUGUUACUUGGCAGACUUUGGGUUUCCUUCAACACUUCCACAUACGGAUGGCUCAUCUGAAGGAGUUUCUUCUGAAACGAGAGCCCGUCCAAAUGUAAAACCUGUCUGGAUACGCCCUGCUAUUCUAGAUUCAUAAAUGUUUGAGGAGAAGCAGCCACUUUGGAAUUAUCUUUGGUAUAUCUAAGUAAUAGAUUGCAUGCUGAUGAUAUAUCUGAAGUCUGAACAAAGUGGAGAAUGGAGACUCGUAAUCCUGAAGUGUUAUCAGGUCUUGGUGCACAAGAAACAUUUAAUGCAGUUAAUGCUGAAGUUGUAGCUGCUUUCUACAGGCAAUUCCACCUUUAUUGCUAAAGCUAUUGGCUGAAGCUUUGAGGUAUGAAAUCCCUUUGUUUAUAUAUGUAGAAUUCAUGUUUCCCUCUGUCGUUCUCGUUUUAGACUCUAAAUACUUUCUAACUGUCAUGUUUGGUGCUAAUAAUCUUAACCUCAAUCUUUUUCUUGUGUAAUGCUGCUAGUCCUUGCCUCUGUCAACAAUAAAGACAUGCCGCCGCCUCAUUAGGAUAAAACACUUCAUGAACCUUGUUGUUGCUCUUAGUAUGGGAAUAAUCUAAGCUGCUACUUCAUUAUGAUAGAACUCUUAAAUGAGCCUUGUUCUAAGUAUGGGAAUAAUCUAGGUUACUUUCAGUAAUGCACACCUUAUGGGACCUUAUUUCACCUCCUUCUUAGACUCGUAAUGAGUAUGCAUCUGGAAGGCUAGCUGAAGUGCUAGAAAUAAAUGUUCAUAGACACUUUUUCUACUCGAGUCAAGAGUGUAACUCUCAAUCCUCAGAACUCGUAUUGGAGCCACUUCGUAGAACAAACUACGAAGAAUUGAAAAUACUAAAUCUAUCAAAGAAAUCAUUCCUAUGCAACUUGGUAUAAUAAGUUGGAAAGUAAAAGCAAGCAUGCUGUGGGAGCAAUAGUUACAACCCUUAAAUAACUGUCAAAAAGUAGUAGAAAGUUAUCAGGAGAGCUUCACUUCAGUAUCUUGGUAAUGAUUUAACUUAAAGUAUGAACAUGUGAUGUACUAUCAGAAUUUGACUUUUUACGGCAUGAUAUAUUUGUGAGGGUUGCAUCUGUAGCUUAUCAUAUGGUCAUAUAGUCGCGGGCAUUUCGACUGAAUUUAAUUCUUGCCGAGGAACUCGUUCCCCACAUAUUAUGAAUAAAUAUUUAGUUGCACAUAUUAACAGUUGUCGCGUCUCUCACUCUUCCUAUUUAUCAAGUAAAUCCGCUUGUUCUCCACACUUUUGUUCCCAUAGGUUGUUUUAUUAGCCUUCAAAGGGCUAAUCCAAUUUGUAAACUUCUCAACACCAGCCUUGAACUAUUAGUGCAGUUGUUAUAUUUCCAUCGUUCUGAAAUCAAGCUGGUUUGUAAUAGUAGAAUGAUGCCUUUAUAUAUUUUCCUUCAGUAGAAAGAAUUAUCUGCAUUAGGAAAGGAGUUCAGUUUAGUGCUCAUGUAAUACUGCAUGCCAUUGGAAAUUUUCUUGUUUCUACUUUCUUUGGUACUUUCACUGUUACAGGGAUUGCCGCCUCCUGAGCCUGGUAUAUUCCAUGUCUUCUACUUAUCAUUUCCCCCCAGGUAUCCUUAUGUUUUUUGUAGUUUUAUGUACGUGUUAUUGAAAUGAAUUGGCAGGAUAUCAAAAACCUGUGAGGGUAAAGUCAAGCUAAUAUAUAGGAUGACUGUGGCCAAAUGGAGCUGUGGUGGUUUGUGUGCUUUGUAGUUUGCUAGUUCAGCAAAUUGAUCAGGUCUCUGAGCUCAAGAGGCGAGUAAAAUCGGCUAUUUGAAUCCUUAUUGUUCAUGUCGCUUCAUUUAACCCCGUCUUUCUCUGAUAUUAAGUUCAAGAAUUUGUUGUAAUGCUUAACUAAUGAGUUGAAAAUUGGAUACUGAAGUAAUGAAUUGAA